UAUGAAAAUGCAUUUUGUCUUUCUGCAGACUUCUUGUGGACUUCUUGUUUCCUGUCUUGACAGUGUGUUGACUUCGACUUCUUGUUGAUCAAGUCAACAGGAAUUGCCGUUGACAUCAUGUUGACAGUCUUUUGAAAUACCUUAUGUGUACCUUGUGUGGACAAUGUACAUAGGUGUCGUUGUUGACGCUUUGUGGACUUUCUGUGCACCUGUGUAAUGAGUAUUUAUUUCGACCGUUUUAUUUUAUAGAAGUAUUUUGUAUUAUUAAUUACUGCAUUAUCAGCCAGUAAUGUCCCAGAGGUCGACCUCUGGGGGUACCGAGCAUUUCCUAACGGGGUGGGGGGUGGUGGUAUAUAUGUAUAGAGGCAUAUUUGUGAAUCUAUUCAUUGGGAGACAGGCUGUAUGGGUAAUAUUAGCAAUUUCAGGGUGAGUUAAAAAAAAAAAAAAACCUCCCGGGAGGUAGACAGAUCAGUGUUACCGUCUUUCCACUAAACAAAGCGGUAUUUGAAUCUGAACUUAUGAUCAAAUGUAGCUUAAAUGACACUUUGCCACAUUUUAGCUGCACACUAAAGCUCUAAAUACAUUUUCGUUGGCUUUGGGAAGGCGCUUCCUCGUAUUAUUUAUAUUUCAGUUUAUUAUGCAAUAUAUUUCCAACUUAUACGACCACAUGAGGAUCAUGCGCAUGCGACAAGUUUGCUCCACAUUUUGACUCUGCGCCGCCGUGCUUCACCCUCGCCCCUCGCCUUGUCAUGAAGGAGUCAUCGCCAUUAGCAUCAUCGUAAUGUCGUUGGAACCGUUGCAAGACGUUUGAACGGUCUCCGCGCUCGCUCGUCCAUUUGUGAACAAAGGAGGCCGUGAUUUUGCGUCGUAUGGGCGGCUGCAGUGUUGCGUCCCGUCAGGCCAUGAAAGAAGGAAGGAGGAUAUGAUUUUGCGUCGUAAUGGGUUUUUGUUGUUUGUUCGGAGCAGCGGCUGCAGUGUUGCGUCCCGUCAGGCUCUACUUUGUUGAACACUAAGCUGGACACAUAUCUCUCCAGCGCUUCAGAGACGUCGCUGGCGCCGAAAUUCUAGCUGUUUCACCGUGGGUCGCCAGAAGAACAGCAGAUCAUUGACUGUCAAUUGUGCGACGCGACACUAUGUGGCACGAAGGAUGUGUACGUGUGAAAUACGUAACUACUGUGUGCGCGGGAUGUUUUGUAUGAUUGUGUCGACACUGGAUACCACUUUCAAGGUAUGCAUUUUCGGAAUAAAGUAGAUACAUAUAUAAUUUUGCAGUACUUCAUUUCGUGUAUUUUAUGCGUGUUGCGAGUAAGUGAACAUAUGCACUCUUAAAAAUGAACUUCACCGCAUAGCGUGCUCCUAGCCGACCAUCAACUCGAAUGAUAUCGCUAUGUGACCUGAUUUGUUCAAAACGGUAGGCGCACGGCUUUUUUGUGAUACUUACGCUGUUCAUAAUUGUCACAAAAAUGGCGUACACCUCCCGUUUUCAGGCAGAUAACGAUAUUCGAAAUGAUGAUUGGCCAGGAGUGUGCUAUGCGGUGAAGUUCAUUUCUAAGAGAGUGGAGUCACAGGAAGUCUACAGAAAGUCUUCACAUCAUACGCGGGAUGGUGUUACCAGAAUUAUGUUGACAGUACACAGAAAGAGAACAAAAAAUUCCACAGCUAUUCUGUUGCCAAAUGUCUACAGAAAGUUGAGGGCCAUAAGUC